rnacentral:rRNA from 1 species
GACGAACGCUGACGGUGUGCUUUAGACAUGCAAGUCGAACGCGAAAGCCCUUCGGGGUUAGUAGAGUGGCGAACGGGUGAGUAACACGUGGGCAAUCUGCCCCUCGCAGGGGGACAACCGGAGGAAACUCCGGCUAAUACCCCGUACGCUUGCUGGACCGCAUGGGUCCGGCAAGGAAAGGUAGCUUCGGCCAUCCGGCGAGGGAUGAGCCCGCGGUGCAUUAGCUAGUUGGUGAGGUAACGGCNCACCAAGGCGACGAUGCAUAGCUGGUCUGAGAGGAUGAUCAGCCACACUGGGACUGAGACACGGCCCAGACUCCUACGGGAGGCAGCAGUCGGGAAUCUUGCACAAUGGGCGAAAGCCUGAUGCAGCAACACCGUGUGUGCGACGAA